AUUGAACGCUGGCGGCAUGCCUUACACAUGCAAGUCGAACGGCAGCACGGGGCAACCUGGUGGCGAGUGGCGAACGGGUGAGUAAUGUAUCGGAACGUACCAUUCAGUGGGGGAUAACGUAGCGAAAGUUACGCUAAUACCGCAUAUUCUGUGAGCAGGAAAGCAGGGGAUCGCAAGACCUUGCGCUGAUUGAGCGGCCGAUAUCAGAUUAGCUAGUUGGUGAGGUAAAAGCUCACCAAGGCGACGAUCUGUAGCGGGUCUGAGAGGAUGAUCCGCCACACUGGAACUGAGACACGGUCCAGACUCCUACGGGAGGCAGCAGUGGGGAAUUUUGGACAAUGGGGGUAACCCUGAUCCAGCCAUGCCGCGUGAGUGAAGAAGGCCUUCGGGUUGUAAAGCUCUUUCGGCCGGGAAGAAAUCGCGCCAGUUAAUACCUGGUGUGGAUGACGGUACCGGAAUAAGAAGCACCGGCUAACUACGUG
rnacentral:rRNA from 1 species